GAUAAGCCAGCCCCACUCGGCAAAAACCUCCUCGCGCCCCCAGCAAGCUCGCGGACGCUGGCAGGAGGGCGGCAAAGCCACUUCCAAAAGGCUGCUUUUAUAUAUAUAUAUAUAUAUUUCCCCCUUCUUAUUUCCGUGGCUGUGAGAGCUCAUUGUGUUCAGCAACUCUGACUUGCUGCAUUAGGCAGGCCAUAAAACUGUGCGUGGUACUAAGCCUUCUCAUUAGCCUUUAUUACCGAGCAGGGAACGAGCAGAGAGCUCGGCUCCAUGGGUGGGCAGCUCUUUAAAGCAAUCACCUGCGGCCAUGCAACCUGUUAUGAAAACUCCCCGAAUAACCACGAUAGAUUUGUUAUGCGCGUGCAGGACGCGGGUGACUAUACCGAAAUCACCGUCUCUUGACACGUAAGAGCACGCCGUGGUUGCUCUGUAAAUUAGGGGGGUCAGUGCAGUUGUCACGCGUGCAGGCGGGGACGGCGGAGGUCGGCGAAGCGAGGCGCCGGGCUCGCUCCUCCGAUGGCAAGAGCCAAGAGGUGCCCUGAGAUGGGGGAAGACCUGGAAAUGUGAUCAACGGGCAUCGCUGGGGGCAGCGGCCAGGAGUUUAGGAAGGGUUUAGCGGGCACGGGGCCCUCUGGGAGCAGAUGGGCACAUCCCCAAAGAGCAGGACAGGAGAAGGAAGGGGUUUAGCCAAGUAUGGCAUAAGAUUUUCAGUCCUUUUGGUCUCCCUCCUUCCUCUCGUACUCACCUCCCAUUGCACCAGCACUUCCCCUUAACUCUGCCCACCGCAGCCCCUCUCUCCCCACCGUCGCAGGCCACCUUCAGCCCCCCAGUCCUCAGCGCACAACUGCUCUGCAUGGCCACGCCAUCACCUCUAGCCAGGCCGAUACCCGCUGCUGGUCAACCCAGGCCUCCCUCAAGGUCAAGGCCUCCAAGGUGAAGAUCUCAAGAACCUCCAUAGACCAAACUGGGUCAGAGCAGGGCACAGGAGAUGUUGGCAUUGGAUUUUUUUUUCCACCUCCUCCUGCACAUUGAAGGGAGGAAAAAGGGGUGAAAGGACCCAAGGACCCUCUGGGGCCAGAUUCAGCGGGGCAGCUGGGUGUUGCUGUGCCCCAGGUGCUAUGGGGAGCCUCACCUGCGGCAGGGCUCCCCGAGAAGGGCUGCACAGGGAGGGGGAGGGAAAGGAGAACAGGCUGAACUCAUCAAGACGUUCACAGACUGGCUUCCCUCCUCUCUGAUUUUGUUUAAAUUAAGCCAUCUGCCCACAUUAAAUGGUAAAUUAUCUCAGCUGCUGCCUGUCUCUCCAUGGGGAAAGUGGCCAGAGAAGGAAGGGAAGGAGGGUGAAGGCAGCAGUGCUGCAAACCAGGCUUUCACUUGGGGAAAACAUUGGUCCCAUGGAGGUAUGUGUCAUUUUCCCUUCCAUGCGCUGGAGAUCAGCCCUAGGCAAAGCAGAGGAGGUCACCUCUGUGGGAUCACAGCCCUGCUCCUCCGGCCUUGGAGGAGGGCUGGAAAUUGGUCUCUAAUCUGCCUAAUCAAGUGGAGCACUUUGCAGCGCGACCUUCCUUGGCUUGCGUCCUUGGGAGUCCUGUUCCAGGCGACAGCAGCCUGCUCAAGCGCUGAGAUAAGGGCUCACGUUGUAAAUCUUUGGCUUGGUGGAGCGAAGGGACUUCAGCGUAGCAGGAUGACCGCUCUGGGGCUGUGGUGGAGAAUUGCUACCUUGGACCGCAGCGGGUUUUGCUUGGGGCUUCUGCUUGGCUUCUGGUUCAAAUGGACCCUGCAAAGAGGGAAACAUGCUGACCUGGCAGUUGAGGGAUGUGUUUUUCACUGUGUUAUUUAGCUCGGCAAGACUUUGCUGUUGCUUGGGGAUGCCUUCAGAGGUGAAGCCAUCUCCAGGUCCUGGGGAGCUGGCUGGUGGCAAGCUCCCAAUGGGAGACCCCUCUUCUCUUGGGCAGUUUGGAGCCAGUCCCAAACUCAUCUGCCUUAGCUCUGGACAUGCUGGUCCUCUCUCUGAGGAGGAUGGAGGUGGGUGCGUGCAUCCAUCCUCCAGAGAGCCAGGCACGCAGGUGGUCCAGCCUCCUGCCAGCAGCACGGCAGUGACCUGGCCGGGCGUCCCGGCUGUGGGCUGCCUCCCUCCAACGGUGGAUUUGGCCACGCUCGGUCCCCUCUGCUCCUGCCACGCUGGAUGGUCUCCCGUGGCAACGUCACCACUUAGCAACACACAAGUCUGCCACCUCGCCUGCCGGCCCCCCAUGCAGUGCCCGAUGCUAUGACAACACCCCAAAAAUAGCCAUCCUUGCCGUGCAGCUGUUUGGGCCUGGGGAGGACGUGGGCCGGCCAGGCGGGACUUCUGGCAUUUGCUGCCAGCUCCUCGCUGAGGCCUGGCUCUCAUCACUGGUGUAACGAGCUCUGCAGCCUCUGAGCGGGUCCCCAGGGCUGGGUCAGGGAAGCAGCUGGUCGCAGCUGUGGUGAGUCCUGCCAUAAGCUGGUGGCAACCAGUUAGUCCAGCGAUUCAGCCUCAUUGCAGGGGCCGACAUGCUCCUCUGCUCCCGUGGGACAAGCCGUGGCACCCGCAGGACCUCCCACACCUUUCGGGUUCCGGACGGCUGUAGGUGGCCCUCGGAGAGCAGCAGCCAGAACUGGCCAACGUCCACUUGGCAGCCGGCCCCUCUCACCCAACUCCGGACAGCAAAACGCUGCCUGCUUAGCUGGACUUGACUUGGAGGAGGUGAGCGGCACGUGAGAGUCCCUGCAGAGAUGGACUGGGGCGGCUGCGGGGGGUCUUUGCUUGAAUGCAUCCGAUGCCGGCAACUGCAGCCCCUGCCAAGGGAAGGCUCUGCCGCGCCGGAGAGGGGCUGUGCCCACCCUCUGCCACCAGCACCCUUUAAUGACAGAGAAGAGCAUGGCAGGAAGAAGAGGAUUGGGGCGAUUUUUCUCCCUCUGGCUUUCCGUCGCACAUUUUCUCGCAUCCCUCUUGCGGCUGCGUUGUUUUAAGCACGGUGGAGCCAGGACCGGGCAGCGUAUCUCUGCUCGCUUUCCGUGCCCAGCUCCAGCUUGCAGAGCUCGGGGUGUCUGGACCGGCACCAAGAGCAUCUGCAAGCAGUUCAUGUCUGCAGAAGUCGUAUCAGAGAGCUGCAGCCGGCUUGGCUGGUUGGUGCGUGCGGAGUCGGCAGAAGGGCCCUGACACCCGGGCUGUCCCCAGCCAGCAGCGGGAGCGCCGGGAGCUUUAUGGCUAUAAGUAGCUCUCGGUGGCUGCGAGGCAGCCUGGUUAGAUCCGGCGCGUGGGCCACGGCAUGCAGCUGUGCUCACUGGGGGUGAUGUUCUCCAAAGCUGUAGUGUCUCCCCUCCUUGUUUCGGUGGUCUCCUGGGCUCAGGUUCACCCCCUUGGAGGUGUUUUGGGGUCUCUUGCCCAGUUUGCGCUUGGCCCUGCUGCGUUUGCCGGGGCCGUAGCACGUGGGCGCUGCCGAGCUCCUAACGGAGAAGGAUCCGGCAUCGGUCCUGCGCUGAUACGGGGAUGCAGGAGUUGGCAGAGCAUCUUGGGGCUGAACAUGCAACAGGAUUUAUAAAGGACCAUGGUGGGGAAGUGGUUUAACAGCGAGCCGCGUGCUUCCCCUGCCCUCAGCUCCUCUGUCCCAUGCUGCAGCCAAUACCCAGGGAGAUUUAUUUCCAAAAAAGCAGCCAAGAGAAGUAUUCACAGGGGGUUGAACUUGCAUUUGACUGGUGUGAGACAUGACUGUGGGUCCUCUCGUGCCCCACUGCCACACCAACCCCCCAGAGCCUGCAGCAAGUGCCCGGGGAGGAACAGGCUGCUCCUGCAACGCCGUUUGCCAUGAACGCGCUGAGCGUGUCAGCAGCCAUCGCUGCCUCCCAGCCGAGCGGUCCCCACUCGGUUACAGGCAGCCUGUGCCCUAGGGUCAUUAAGCACCAGGAAAAAGAAACCGCAGCCGCUCGCCCGGCACAGGGCAGGCGCAGGUCCAGCUCCCACCCGGCAGAGCUCCCUGGCCCCGGGGGCGAGACCUCGGCCGGGGGGAUCGACUCCCUCCCCGGCUCCUGGUUUACGGCGCGAUCUCGUCUGUGUUUUCCGACUCGCCGAGGGAGCCGGGUGAGUCAGCACUCGGCAAAGGCUGAGAGGGCGGCUGAGCAGCAGGGAAGUGUGGAGGGAGAACUGACAGUGGGCUGCAGGUGAGGAAAUUUGGGAAGGAAGGCGGCGAGGGCUGACAGAAAGCCACAGGAGAGGGCACCGAGGAGAAGGGAAGAGCGCUUUUUUUUUUUCUUUUCCCCUCCUUCUGCUGGAAAUCAGCAGUCGAUACUGCUGCUUCCUACGAAAUCCACCUAAAGGACCUAGACCAAAUCCCCACAACCAGCCUAAGAAAUGCCCAAAUCAAAGCAAGGGGGGUGAGGGAGUCUGCUGCAGGGAAGGCGGCAGCCGGUGGGAGGGAUGGAUGGAUGGAGCUGAGCAUGGGGAGUUAAUGGACUGUGAAUAGGACUGAUGGUAAGGGUGAGGGGCAGAGCCUGAAGGGCAAAUCACACCUGCAGGGAAGAUGAAUGAGAUGUUUUCCCAAGACGAAUGAGGGAGCCUCCACAAGGGCACCAGCUGGAGGUCUGGGCAGGAGUCCGUGGAGGAGACGAAAGGGUUAAAUCAAUGAACCAGGUUCUCAUCAGACUUUGCUGGAAAGAUUUAGGUUUUUCCACUGACUUGUAUUUCUCUCCUGGUAGCGUUUAGGUGCGAUAAACCCACAUGUGCAAACACACACUGCCCUUCCCCUGGGGGCUGCCUUGGAAAAGAACAUCUUCCAUCUGAGGAUCUGUGCACGGCUUGCAUCCUGGAGGCCUCGGAGCCUUAUUAGCUCCAGGGGUGUGUGAUUAUCCACAGGUGUCCGAGGGGGGGAGAAAAGAUGCAAAGAAGCAAAAUGGCUUGGCCCAAGGUGCAAAGAAAGUUGGCAGCGGAGCUAUGAAUAGCCCUGCCGGCUCCUUACAGCCAGCCGAGCGCUGGGCUGUGAGGCCUCCUGAAAGGUGGGAAGCCAGAAACCACCUUCUGCUUCCUGAAAGACUCGCAGAAGGGAGGGAUGUGCAACAGCGGUGGGGACAUACCGGACUCGGCUUUUGAGCGAGGACUAACUACUGGCCCAAACCAUGAGAACCAGGAGAUGCUGUGGGCCACACAAGGAAUGGAAAGAAAGGAAUGUGCUGAACACGCUGAAAAUGCUGAUGGACGGGACAGAUGGGUGGCAACGCACGGGAUGGAAACGGGCUGUGGAAAAGCUGCCUUGAUGUGACAGGCUAUGCUGGAGGACAGGACGUGCUGCCCAGCAUGAUGUUCUUCACUCCCACAGCAGCCGGACCUGCGUCACAAGGAAGAGCUGUGAGACAUGAGACGGGACGCCCCGGAGACCAAAGGGAGCUGGGACUUCUGCAUCUUUGUGACACCGCGCUUGGCGCUGCAGGGAACGAGGUGCCGAUCCUCACCGGGGUGUAAGAGAGGCGCAAGGUGCCCUGCGAGUUGGUUGACACGCAGGGCCGUCUUCUCCAGACCCCUGCGCGGACACUGGGCCCUCUGCAGGCUCCUGUUCAGCUUUUCAAGGGAGCCUCGUGUCCCUUCCCAGCUGCUAGAGCAAACGGCUGAGGAACACCUCUUGCCGCAGGCUGUGUCCUUGCUUUCCUCCCACUGGGACAGUGGGGAAAGGUCCCUGUCUCAGCUGCUCCGAGCUGGGAAUCGGCGCUGCCGGCUGGCUUUUCACAGCGUCCUUUAAUGCUGCCUCUUCCUCCCAGAGCAAGCGCCACUCAUCUCAAAAACAUCACGCUCGGCUGCGAUGUUAUAGCUCGGAGCAGGAAUGGGGGGCUCUCCCCCCUCCCAUUUUCCCCCUGUCUCCCCAUCUCCUGGCCUCCAUUCAAGGACCUGACGGGCGCCCAGGAGCCCCAGCUGCGUAGCCGUGGGGUUAGGAGCCAGGCCUCGGCUCUUCGGGUCGGCUUGGGGUCCCCUCGACCGGAGCUGCCACCUGUUUGCUGGCAAGACGCAGCUCAGGCAAGGAUGCUGCAGCAUUCGCUCAUCGUGUCACGGCCGUGGCAGCGUGUCACUGUGCAGUGACAUGGCGAUGACUCGAGCGGAGGCUCCAGCCGUUUAAAGGCGCCGGCCUGCCUGGAUUGCUGUGAACCUUGUCUCAUCUCGGCGUGAGCAUGGAUGGGUUUAGUUCUUCUGGGCAAUGUUGCUUCUCCUGAGGUAGGACGGUCUAAUUUUUCUCCCUGUUUCUCCAGGAGGAACAAAGGCACAGAGUGAUGAGGGACCAGAUUGCCACCCCUGGUGUUUUUUGGUCAAAGGGUCUCUGAGCGGAGGAUGAUGAUAUGAAGUUAGGCUCCUUCAAGCACAGGUAGCGACUGUAAGCUGAGGCGCUAGCUUGCAGGAGGCAGAUGGACCAGAGACAUGACAUUGACCAACGAAUCUGCAGCCCAUGGAUGUACCCAACCUCCCUGGGUGCCACUGGGCUCCCUUGGGCUGCAUCCCUGCCCCAGGGGCAGCAGGGCCCUGCCUCGCUGCGGCGAGCCGAGAAGAAACGCGCUGAGGGCUGCAAAGGUUUGGUGCUGCAGAGACGAGUCCCCAAAGUCAGGUGCCUCCAUCCCAUAUGGACAUUAGCGCCCUGAAUGUAGCCAUCCUCGGAGCAUCCCUGGGGAGGACAGUUGGGGACUGGAAAGGGCAGGAGACUGAGAGCACAGAUGGAGCCUAGGAGCUCGAGUCUUUCUAGUUAUUGGUUAAUGCCCAAACACCAGCCUUCCUCUGGACACUGGUCUUCAGCAAAGGACGUGGCCCUGCAACAUGAUCUUGGAUCCCCAAUCCCCGAGGCUGCCUUAAUCCUCUCUGUACUUUGGGGGGUUAUUCUUCCCUUUCCAUUAAUCUCUGAAUAUUAGGUGGAAAGUGAACAAUUACUGUGCUAAUGGCUCCAUGAAUUCCUUCAUUACUUAUUAAACUCGAGCACUCCUCGCUCAGCUGAGAAAAAGAGCUGAAAUAGAGAGAAAAGGGCUCGGAGGGGGGCAGGAGGGGCUGCGCCGGGGCAGGAGGCCCAAGCUCUUCGG